rnacentral:snoRNA from 1 species
AUCCCAUCAUGAGGACUGGCAGCCACAUAUUUCUGAAGUCGUUCCCACGUCUCAGGAAUAGACUUGUCCCUUGUCUGCUGGAAACUUGAAAUUCUCCCAUGAAGGGGAUU